AUGAGGACUAAUCUGUCUCUUACGGACAACCAAUGAAAUUAAUCUUUCAGUACAAAAGCUGAAAUAAAAACAUAAGACGAGAAGACCCUGUGGAGCUUCAAACCAAACACACCCUGCAUGCUCCUCAGGUUUUUAGUUGGGGCGACUUCGGAGCACAAUAAAACCUCCAAAAUUUUUAUCUUCAAGAUUAACAAACCAAAAACUUUAUUAGACCCAGCAAUGUAUGACAUUGUCUGAUCACUGAACCAAGUUACCCCAGGGAUAACAGCGCCAUCCCCUCCUAGAGUUCAUAUCGACAAGGGGGUUUACGACCUCGAUGUUGGAUC
rnacentral:rRNA from 1 species